rnacentral:lncRNA from 1 species
UCGCCAUGGAGACGCAGAAGCCACGGUUGGAGAAAAAGAUGUCAGAAAGAGAGCUAACUUAGCAGUUAGCUAGUUUAAAGUUUCUGUGUUAGAAAAACUCGGUGUUUUUUGUGUUUAUUAAGUGAACUGAGGCGUCGGGCAGUGUCUGUUUACCUAUUUAACUGGUUCUGAGCUGUAUUUGCCCUCUAACGUCGAGCUUUCUACUCUAAACUUGGACAUUUCCACUGGGCUAGCUGGCUAAGUUAGCUAGCUAACGCUAACUAGCGCUAACCAGCUUUAUGGAGCUGUAGGGAGUGUUAAAUGCCAUACAGAGGACAGUUGGAGCAAGAGCUGACAGAUUCAUUUCACUCCCAGCGGAAAUAACACAGCUGGACGGACGGAGAACUUGAACCUGCUGCUGUCAGCUGAGAGAGCUGCUGGUUAAGGUGGUGCGGAACUGAGAGAGCUGCUGGUUAAGGUGGUGCCGGACUGGGCGCUGCUGGUUAAGGUGGUGCGGAGCUGAGACAGGUGCUAGUUAAGGUCGUGCGGAGAUGGGCUGCUGCUGAGAGCUGAUUGUCUGAGCGCGCUGCACUGACUGAGGAUGCUGCGAGUGAUUAAAGCUACCAUCAGGCUCCCAAUAAAAGUGCAGGAAGCCACAAAAACAACCCAAGCUGGAUCUUGUACCUGAGAGGAAAUGGAAUUUGUACCUUUUUGGUUCCACCAAGGUUCAAGGUUUUGUUCCAUGAUGUACAUUUGUUUCAGUUAGUAUUGGUUUCACACAGUUUAGUGACUAAGUGAAUAAAA